AUUUUUGACCAUGGGGGAAAACCUGAUUGAGCCAUCGCGCGUGUAUGAUGAAGGCCUUCCGGUUGUAAAAUCCCUUUGGCAGCGAAGAAAGGGUAUCGCCUAAUAAGGGAUACUGCUGAGGGUAUCUGCAGAAUGACCCCCGGCUAACUCCGUGCCAGCAGCCGCGGUAAUACGUAGGGUGCAAGCGUUAAUCGGAAUUACUGGGCGUAAAGCGUGUGUAGGCGGUUCGGAAAGUAAGAUGUGAAAUCCCAGGGCUCAACCUAGGAACCGCAUUUUAAACUGGCGAGCUAGAGUAUGGCAGAGGAGGGUAGAAUUCCACGUGUAGCAGUGAAAUGCGUAGAUAUGUGGAGGAAUACCGAUGGCGAAGGCAGCCCCCUGGGAUAAUACUGACGCUCAGACACGAAAGCGUGGGGAGCAAACAGG
rnacentral:rRNA from 1 species